rnacentral:rRNA from 1 species
UGGUCAAGUUAUUAAGGGUGCAGGGCGGAUGCCUUGGCACUAGGAGCCGAUGAAGGACGUGAUAAGCUGCGAUAAGCUUCGGGGAGUUGCACGUAAACUUUGAUCCGAAGAUUUCCGAAUGAGGAAACUCACUUAGAGUAAUGUCUAAGUAUCAUUAAGUGAAUACAUAGCUUAAUGAGGGGAACUCAGGGAACUGAAACAUCUAAGUACCUGAAGGAAGAGAAAGAAAUUCGAUUCCGUAAGUAGCGGCGAGCGAACGCGGAUUA